rnacentral:misc_RNA from 1 species
UCUCCGUUGGUGAACCAGCGGAGGGAUCAUUACUGGAUCGAAAGACUCCUAUAACCCCUGUGAACUUACUACAAAUACGUUGCUUCGGCGGGUGCCCCGGGUCUCCCGGGGCGUUCAGCCCGCCGGCAGCCUUCGAAUUCUGUUUCUUUGCGUUGGCAUCUCGAGUAUACAAAAAUAAGUUAAAACUUUCAACAACGGAUCUCUUGGCUCUU